rnacentral:lncRNA from 1 species
CUCUUCAUCACACAACCAAGUCAGGCUGUUUCUGGGUGAGAAGGAGGGCUGCCAUAUAGCUGAUGAGCAGUAUGUACAUUUUUAAUAGAAGCAGGUGUUGCAUUUUUCUUUCACAAGAGGAACAUAAGACUCUCCAUGUUGAUUUCUACGAGACUGAAGACAUUGAAGGGCCCCUUAAGGAGAGUCCCAGAGAGACAGGUGUAGCUUGCUUGCCAGAAAUACAGGACUGGAACUGGGGAAAUGAGCAAAUUGAUAUAACACAAACACAUGUGGGGAAAAAAAAAAUAGAAAGAAUAGUCACCUGGAGCCAAUUGCCAUGGACCUGUUUUAUGUGCUGGAAAACCUCUGACAAUACAUAGCUGGAUGAAAAAAAUC